GUUCGACGUAGGAAAAUAGAGAAAGUUGAAAAUCCUUUCUACAGUUAUAGACCCUGUGUCAGUUUGGGUCGGUGUUUCCAAGACACGGGUCGAGCGCUCUGAGCGAGUGAAGACAACUUUGCUGGGACAAGAAACGGGAGAGGCCCUGAAGCGGAAUCUUGAUUGCCUUUCUCUUUCACAAGAUAUCAUUACAUUCAUGGCAUUAUGCUGAUUGGACCUAGGGGGCAAAAAGUAGCAACUAAUCUAAACUUACUGAGGACAAAUAUCAGAGUCCACUGUAGAGGAUUUAGAGUCAGACUGCCUGGUGACUUGGUGUCAACACUUGCCUGCUGCUUGAUCUUCAGCAAGUCAUGUUAGAGGAUAAAAUAAGGCACAUUAAAAUUUUCAUGAGUUUA